UACGUAGGGGGCAAGCGUUGUCCGGAUUCAUUGGGCGUAAAGAGCUCGUAGGCGGCUUGGCAAGUCGGGUGUGAAACCUCCAGGCUCAACCUGGAGACGCCACCCGAUACUGCCAUGGCUAGAGUCCGGUAGGGGACCACGGAAUUCCUGGUGUAGCGGUGAAAUGCGCAGAUAUCAGGAGGAACACCAAUGGCGAAGGCAGCUCACUGGGACGGUAUUGACGCUGAGACGCGAAAGCGUGGGGAGCAAACAGG
rnacentral:rRNA from 1 species